UGGUCCCAACCCUAAAAUCAACUUGUACUUAACUUACACAUGCAAGUCUCAGCACCCCUGUGAGAACGCCCUAAACUCCCUGUUCGGGACAAGGAGCUGGUAUCAGGCACACUAUUUAGCCCAUAACACCUAGCCAUGCCACACCCUCAAGGAACCUCAGCAGUGAUCAAUAUUGAAUAUAUGCGUCAGCAAGAUUCAGUUAAAGUACAGAGAGCCGGCAAAAUUGGUGCCAGCCGCCGCGGUUAUACCAAUAGACUCAAGUUGACCAUAUCGGCGUAAAGCGUGAUUAAAGUUCCAGUCCAAUUAAAGAUAGAACCCCCACUAAGCUGUGACACGCUUGUGCCUGAGAAAGUCAAAAACGAAAGUUACUUUAAUUAACCCCACUUGAACUCACGACAGUUAAGAUACAAACUGGGAUUAGAUACCCCACUAUGCUUAACCGUAAACCUUAAAUUACAUUUCAAACGCCAGGGAACUACGAGCCAAGNNCAUGGUAAGUAUACCGGAAGGUGUGCUUGGAAA
rnacentral:rRNA from 1 species